UUCUUCAAGAUUUGGAAACCGAUAUUGAAAUCCUUCCAUUUUUAACCCAAAAUUCUUUCAACUUCGUAGAUAUGUUAAGAAACCGGUUCUUCAAGAUUUGGAAACCGAUAUUGAAAUCCUUCCAUUUUUAACCCAAAAUUCUUUCAACUUCGUAGAUAUGUUAAGAAACCGGUUCCUCAAAAUUUGGAAACCGAUAUUGAAAUCCUUCCAUUUUUAACCCAAGAUUCUUUCACCUUCCAUUUUUAACCCAAGAUUCUUUCAACUUUGUAGAUAUGUUAAGAAACCGGUUUAGAGUUUGUAGAGCUAGGACUGCAAAACCGAAACCGAUUUAGAGUUUAUAGAGCUAAGACUGCAAAACCGAUUUAUAGUUUGUAGAACUAGAAAUAUUUGCAUUUAUAAACACAUGUCCAUAUAUUGUCCGAUAUGAGACUCUUAUUAAAUUAGCUUAAUAAAAUUGACCCAUAAUUCUCUCAACUUCUUAACUAUAUCAAUUCUGGUGUAAUUUAGGAAAAUCUCGUAUGAUUGAUUUACAAUUAGGAAACUCUAUCCGAUUCACAAACUCCACCUUGUAAGCUUAUUGAAUUUAAGCUAUGAAAAACUCUAUCCGGUUCAUAAACCCCACCUAAUAUAAAAACAUAACCCCACCUAAUAUAAAAACAGAUUAAUUAUUGAUUUAUAAAUUAGUUAUUAUAUUUAGUCGGUAAAAAAUCCUGAUAUUUG
rnacentral:lncRNA from 1 species